rnacentral:rRNA from 1 species
UAAUGGUGGGCACUCUAAGGAGACUGCCGGUGACAAACCGGAGGAAGGUGGGGAUGACGUCACAGUCAUCAUGGCCCUUACGGCCUGGGCUACACACGUGCUACAAUGGUCGGUACAGAGGGUUGCCAAGCCGCGAGGUGGAGCUAAUCCCAUAAAACCGAUCGUAGUCCGGAUCGCAGUCUGCAACUCGACUGCGUGAAGUCGGAAUCGCUAGUAAUCGCGAAUCAGAAUGUCGCGGUGAAUACGUUCCCGGGCCUUGUACACACCGCCCGUCACACCAUGGGAGUGGGUUGCACCAGAAGUAGCUAGU